rnacentral:rRNA from 1 species
GUAGGUGGCAAGCGUUGUCCGGGAAUUAUUGGGGCGUAAAGCGCGCGCAGGCGGUUCCUUAAGUCUGAUGUGAAAGCCCACGGGCUCAACCGUGGAGGGUCAUUGGAAACUGGAGAACUUGAGUACAGAAGAGGAAAGCGGAAUUCCACGUGUAGCGGUGAAAUGCGUAGAGAUGUGGAGGAACACCAGUGGCGAAGGCGGCUUUCUGGUCUGUAACUGACGCUGAGGCGCGAAAGCGUGAGGAGCAAACAGGAUUAGAUACCCUGGUAGUCCACGCCGUAAACGAUGAGUGCUAAGUGUUAGGGGGUUUCCGCCCCUUAGUGCUGCAGCCAACGCAUUAAGCACUCCGCCUGGGGAGUACGGCCGCAAAGGCUG